rnacentral:rRNA from 1 species
GACGAACGCUGGCGGCGUGCUCAACACAUGCAAGUCGAACGGAAAGGCCCUGCUUUUGUGGGGUGCUCGAGUGGCGAACGGGUGAGUAACACGUGAGUAACCUGCCCUUGACUUUGGGAUAACUUCAGGAAACUGGGGCUAAUACCGGAUAGGAGCUCCUGCUGCAUGGUGGGGGUUGGAAAGUUUCGGCGGUUGGGGAUGGACUCGCGGCUUAUCAGCUUGUUGGUGGGGUAGUGGCUUACCAAGGCUUUGACGGGUAGCCAGCCUGAGAGGGUGACCGGCCACAUUGGGACUGAGAUACGGCCCAGACUCCUACGGGAGGCAGCAGUGGGGAAUAUUGCACAAUGGGCGGAAGCCUGAUGCAGCAACGCCGCGUGCGGGAUGACGGCCUUCGGGUUGUAAACCGCUUUCGCCUGUGACGAAGCGUGAGUGACGGUAAUGGGUAAAGAAGCACCGGCUAACUACGUG